AACGAACGCUGGCGGCAGGCCUAACACAUGCAAGUCGAGCGAGGACUUCGGUUCUAGCGGCGGACGGGUGAGUAACGCGUGGGAAUGUGCCCUUCUCUACGGAAUAGCCCUGGGAAACUGGGAGUAAUACCGUAUACGCCCUAUUGGGGAAAGAUUUAUCGGAGAAGGAUCAGCCCGCGUUGGAUUAGGUAGUUGGUUGGGUAAUGGCCUACCAAGCCGACGAUCCAUAGCUGGUUUGAGAGGAUGAUCAGCCACACUGGGACUGAGACACGGCCCAGACUACUACGGGAGGCAGCAGUGGGGAAUCUUAGAAAAUGGGGGCAAACCUGAUCUAGCCAUGCCGCGUGAGUGAUGAAGGCCUUAGGGUUGUAAAGCUCUUUCAGCUGGGAAGAUAAUGACGGUACCAGCAGAAGAAGCCACGGCUAACUCCGUG
rnacentral:rRNA from 1 species